GAUGAACGCUGGCGGCGUGCCUAAUACAUGCAAGUCGAGCGAACAGACGAGGAGCUUGCUCCUCUGACGUUAGCGGCGGACGGGUGAGUAACACGUGGAUAACCUACCUAUAAGACUGGGAUAACUUCGGGAAACCGGAGCUAAUACCGGAUAAUAUAUUGAACCGCAUGGUUCAAUAGUGAAAGACGGCUUUGCUGUCACUUAUAGAUGGAUCCGCGCCGCAUUAGCUAGUUGGUAAGGUAACGGCUUACCAAGGCAACGAUGCGUAGCCGACCUGAGAGGGUGAUCGGCCACACUGGAACUGAGACACGGUCCAGACUCCUACGGGAGGCAGCAGUAGGGAAUCUUCCGCAAUGGGCGAAAGCCUGACGGAGCAACGCCGCGUGAGUGAUGAAGGUCUUCGGAUCGUAAAACUCUGUUAUUAGGGAAGAACAAAUGUGUAAGUAACUAUGCACGUCUUGACGGUACCUAAUAAGAAAGCAACGGCUAACUACGUG
rnacentral:rRNA from 1 species